UUUGAAGAUAGUUUUCUGGUGCUGGCCCUUGUCUAUGUUCCUUGGAACAGGACGUCACAGAGGGUGAGAAUCCCGUCYGGCGGGGUGUCCAGUGCUUUGUAGAUUUCUAUCGACGAGUCGAGUUGUUUGGGAAUGCAGCUCUAAGUGGGUGGUAAAUUCCAUCUAAAGCUAAAUAUUGGCGAGAGACCGAUAGCGAACAAGUACAGUGAUGGAAAGAUGAAAAGAACUUUGAAAAGAGAGUGAAAAAGUACGUGAAAUUGUUGAAAGGGAAGGGUAUUAGAUCAGACUUGGUGUUUUGUGAUUAUCUUCCCUUCUUGGGUUGUGCACUCGCAUUUCACUGGGCCAGCAUCGGUUCGGGUGGUAAGAUAAUGACAUUGGAACGUGGCACUGCCUUCGGGUGGUGUGUUAUAGCCCUUGUUGAUGUUGCCUACCUGGACCGAGGACUGCGGCUUUUGCCUAGGAUGCUGGCG
rnacentral:rRNA from 1 species